rfam:Hordeum vulgare subsp. vulgare, WGS project CAJW01000000 data, contig: morex_contig_1590313
AUUGUACUUCCUCCGUCCCAAAAUUAUUGUCUUAGAUUUGUCUAGAUAUAAAUGUAUCUAGUCAAGUUUUAAUAUUUAGAUACAUCUUUUUAUAGACAAACCUAAGACAAGAAUUUUUGGAAGGAGGGAGUAUUUG